rnacentral:rRNA from 1 species
UACGGAAGGCAGCAGUGGGGAAUAUUGCACAAUGGGCGCAAGCCUGAUGCAGCCAUGCCGCGUGUAUGAAGAAGGCCUUCGGGUUGUAAAGUACUUUCAGUCGUGAGGAAGGUGUUAAGGUUAAUAACCUUAGCAAUUGACGUUAGCGACAGGAGAAGCACCGGCUAACUCCGUGCCAGCAGCCGCGGUAAUACGGAGGGUGCGAGCGUUAAUCGGAAUUACUGGGCGUAAAGGGCACGCAGGCGGUUAAUUAAGUUGGAUGUGAAAUCCCCGGGCUUAACCUGGGAAUGGCAUUCAAGACUGGUUAGCUAGAGUCUUGUAGAGGGGGUAGAAUUCCAUGUGUAGCGGUGAAAUGCGUAGAGAUGUGGAGGAAUACCGGUGGCGAAGGCGGCCCCUGGACAAAGACUGACGCUCAUGUGCGAAAGCGUGGGGAGCAAACAGGGAUUAGAUACC